CGCAUCGUUGUACGCACCAAUUCGAGUCUUGGGUGACGAGACCGGCAGCGGAGCGGUCCCGAUGGCGGCGGCCGAACCUCCUGCCUGCGCUUCCCGCCUCCGCCAUCUCGUCGAACUCAUCGAGCUCAAAGCGCACAAGGACCCCGUCGCCGCCCUUUCCCACCUUGACUCCCUCGCCGCCCACCAUCCCUUCUCAUGCCCCUCCCCUUCCCUUCUCUUCCGCCUCCUCCGCGCUGUCUCCGCCUCCGCCCCCUCCCACCUCCCCCGCCUCCUCCGCUUCCUCCGCCACCACCCCCGUUGCCCCCGCUUCUCCGAGGCGGCGGCCCUCGUCGCCCUCAAGGCAUUCUCCCGCGCUCUCAUGCCCGACGAGGCCCUCCGCACCUUCCGCUCCCUCCCCGACAUCUUCCGCUGCACGCCCGGCGUCCGCUCCCACAACGCCCUACUCGACGCCUUCGUCCGCGCGCGCCGCUGGGAUGAGGCCGAGUCUUUCUUCGCCUUUUUCUCCGCCCGCGCUCGCGUCCGCCCCAACCUCCAGACCUACAACAUCCUCAUCCGAGGCCUCUGUGCUCGCGAACAGCUCGACCGGGCGCUGGAGCUGCUCCAAACGAUCCGGUCUGGCGGUAUCGAGCCCAACCGCGUCACCUACAGCACCCUUAUGUGUGCCCUGAUCAAAAGAGGUGAUUUGGACAAAGCACUCGAGGUCUUCGAUGAAAUGUGCGAUAGGAAGGUGGCUGCCGACGUUGUAUGCUACAAUGUCCUGAUCGAUGGGUUCUUGAAGAAUGAUGAACUCGACAAGGCUAUGGAGAUGUGGAAUCGAAUGGUGAGCGACAGGGCAGUUAGUCCGACCGUGGCGACCUAUAAUGUGAUGUUGAAUGGUCUAUGCAAGCUCGGCAAGUUCAAUGAGGUGAUGGAGCUGUGGGGUCGAAUGGUGGCGAACAGCCACCGUCCUGAUUCCUUCACCUAUGGAAUUCUGAUUCAUGGAUUAUGUGAGUCCGGGAAUGUGGAUGGGGCAUCACGAGUCUACACAGAGAUGAUGAAGAAUGGGCUUGUUCUUGACACUGUCACCUGCAAUUCUCUGCUUAAUGGCUUCUGCAGAGCAGGGAGGUUGGAGGAGUCUUCGAAGCUGUGGGAAUCAAUGCAAAGUGCAGGGCACUGUAACACUGUCAGUUACAACAUUCUGAUUAGAGGCCUCUUUGAGAAUGGUAGGGUAGAAGAUGCUAUCAUCCUCUGGGAACAGUUGCAGCAGCAGCAACAUAAGGCUUUGCGUCCAGAUUCAGUCACUUAUGGUGUUUUGAUACAUGGGUUAUGUGAGAAUGGGUACAUUAACAAGGCAUUGCAAGUACUGAAGAAGGCAGAAGAAGGUGAAGAUAAGAUUUUGGAUGUCUUUGCAUAUACAUCUAUGUUAGAUGGUCUCUGUAAAGACAAGAGAAUCGAUGAAGCUAUUUGCGUUUACAAUCAAAUGGCUAAAUGUGGUUGCAGACCAAACUCGCAAACUCACAAUGCCCUUAUAAGUGGCUUCUGCAGAGUAUCUAAGAUCUCAGAAGCCAUCCAGUUUUUCAAUCAGAUGCAAAGCAGUGGUUGCUCUCCUACUAUUGUGACAUACAACGCCCUUAUCGGUGGUCUGUGUAAAGCAGAAAGGUUCUUUGAAGCUUCUGUGUUUACAAGGGAAAUGAUGGAGAAAGGCUUCAAACCUGAUACAAUCACAUACAGCUCGUUGAUAGAUGGUCUUUGUCGAGAUAAGAAGCUUGAUGCUGCUCUUGAUAUUUGGAACAGAGUUUUCAAUAUGGGAGAUGGAGCUGAUGUCAUUAUGCACAACAUUAUCAUCCAUGGUCUUUGUUCUGCUGGGAAAGUGGAAGAAGCCUUACGUGUUCAUUCUGAGAUGAAACGAAGAAACUGCAUGCCAACCUUGGUCACCCAUAAUACGCUCAUGGAUGGACUUUAUGAAUCUGGUGAUUGUGAAAAAGCAUCGACUGUAUGGAUUGAGAUGCUAGAAGUGGGAUUGGAGCCAGACAUCAUCUCUUACAACAUAGCUCUCAAAGGCCUUUGUUCAUAUAACAGGACGUCGGAAGCGGUUCAAUUGUUGCAUGAUGCCUUGAGCCAUGGCAUAAUCCCAUCCACCAUUACAUGGAGUAUACUUCUUAGGGCAGUGAUGAAAGAAGGUCCUGCUCAAACAUGAUGACUAUGAAGUUCUGCCUCAAGCUUAAUACAGAGACCAGUUUCUGACACAUCAAGUUAGCAACCAUCUCUGCUUUUCCUUGGCUCAAGUUGCAGCAAUAUUUUUCUUUAGCAUCCGGGUGUGUGACUCAAUGUGACUCAAUUACACAACUUUCAACACCAACAACAAAGCCGUUUUAAACAUUGACUAAACCGCCCACCAUGGGGCUCAAACCCAUGGUCACAAGGUUAAGAGCCUUGCACUCUACCGACUGAGCCGGAUGGGCUUGUUCAGUUGCACAAAGUUGGGAAUGUCUCAUCAGAAUCACAACUGGAUUCAAAAGCAACUUUAGCUUGCUGUUCUCCCAUAUGAACCGAGAAAGCAAGCCCGCGCAUUAUCAGCCAAAUGCUGCAAGUUUACACCAAUUCAACUCGUAAUAAUCAAAAAGAGCAUUGCAGAUCAUGGCCGCAAGCAAAGCCAUUAGCACAGGUCUGAAUAUCUUGGCAAAUUAUGUGAAAGCAUGUACCAGACGCUCCAGGUGCUCUAAUAUCUUCUACAAGCCAAGCAAGAGAGUACUAUUAUUUAUUUAAGAAGGCUUCUCUGGUGUCAGAGACGCUGACAUUGGCUUCCUCAAGCUUUUGGAGUGUUUUUUUUCCAGCUUGAAUGAUCUUGGCAUUUUCAUCCUCUGCAAAUGGACUGGGGAGCAAUGUUCAUUGACAAGGUGGUGAGAGAGAUCCUUUGGAUGUUCGAGUGGUGGACUGACUGAUUAGUGAAUUUGUAGCUGUUCUUUGCUUUGAGAAGAUAUCCUAAUGCAAGGAUAAUUGUUGCAAUCUUAUGGUAAAAAGCUAAGAGAUGGUGUUGGCCUGGCAGCAGAAGGCUAGGGAGUAUCCUCGAAGUUUUGGUCUUCACCUAUUUAUUUUCCUGGUGUGAAGGAACACUUCUGAUGUGCCUAUCGUUUGGUAUGUAUGGUUGACAAACCAUUAAACUUGUAACACCUCUGAUUA